rnacentral:rRNA from 1 species
UACGUAGGGGGCUAGCGUUGUCCGGAUUUAUUGGGCGUAAAGAGUGCGUAGGCGGUUCUUGAAGUCCGCUGUGAAAGCCCCGGGCUUAACCUGGGAAUGGCAGUGGAAACUGGAGGACUUGAAUUGAGCAGAGGGGGGUGGAAUGCCGCGUGUAGCAGUGAAAUGCGUAGAGAUGCGGCGGAACACCGAUGGCGAAGGCAGCCCCCUGGGCUUAAAUUGACGCUGAGGCACGAAAGCGUGGGGAGCAAACAGG